AUGGGGUCAGCUGCUCUUUUGCUAUGGGUACUGUUGCUCGGAGUUCCAGGUUCUGUUGGGGACAUUGUGCUGACCCAAUCUCCAGCUUCCUUGACUAUGUCUCCAGGGCAAAGUCACACCAUCUCCUGCAGAGCCAGCCAGAGUGUCAAUACAGUUGGUAUUCCUCUUAUGAACUGGUAUCAACAGAAACCAGGACAGCUCUCCAAACUCCUCAUCCAUGAUGCAUCCAAACUAGCAUCUGGGGUCCCUGCCAGGUUCAGUGGCAGUUUGUCUGGUACAGACUUCACCCUCACCAUCCACCCUGUGGAGGCUGAUGAUGUUGCAACCUAUUACUGUCAGCAAGGUCUAGCGCUUCCUCUCACAGUGCUCCAGGUGUAA